GCCGCCUUAGCUCAGUUGGUAGAGCACUCGACUGAAAAUUGAGGUGUCACUGGUUCAAGUCCGGUAGGCGGCACCA
rnacentral:tRNA from 1 species